UACAGAGGUCUCAAGCGUUGUUCGGAUUCAUUGGGCGUAAAGGGUGCGUAGGUGGCGGGGUUAGUCAGGUGUGAAAUCUCGAGGCUCAACCUUGAAACUGCACUUGAUACUGCCUUGCUCGAGUACUGGAGAGGAGAUUGGAAUUUACGGUGUAGCAGUGAAAUGCGUAGAUAUCGUAAGGAAGACCAGUGGCGAAGGCGAAUCUCUGGACAGUUACUGACACUGAGGCACGAAGGCCAGGGGAGCAAACGCG
rnacentral:rRNA from 1 species